GUCUAUGGCUAUGCCACCCUGAACAAGCCUGAUCUUUGAUCUUGUCUGAUCUUGGAAGCUAAGCAAGGUUGGGCCAGGUUAGUACUUCGAUGGGAGACCACCUAGGAAGACCAGGUGCCGUAGGCA
rnacentral:rRNA from 1 species